rnacentral:rRNA from 1 species
AUUGAACGCUGGCGGCAGGCCUAACACAUGCAAGUCGAACGAGUGGCGGACGGGUGAGUAAUGUCUGGGAAACUGCCUGAUGGAGGGGGAUAACUACUGGAAACGGUAGCUAAUACCGCAUACCAUCGGAUGUGCCCAGAUGGGAUUAGAUUUUGGGUGGGGUAACGGCUCACCAAGGCGACGAUCCCUAGCUGGUCUGAUAGGAUGACCGGCCAAACUGGAAGUUAGACACGGUCGAGUCUCUCGCGGGAGGCAGCAGUGGGGAAUAGUGCGCAAGGGGCGCGAGGCUUAUGCAGGCAUGCCGCGUGUAUGAAGAAGGCCUUCGGGUUGUAAAGGACUUUCAGCGGGGAGACGUUGCCCGCCGAAGAAGCACCGGCUAACUCCGUGCCAGCAGCGGCUAUAAUAC